AUAACCUGUGAAUCAGCCCAGGAUCGAGUAUAGGAUUGAGAUGGGCGAGAAAGGAGGAGAGGAGGCCCUGCCACUGGGAUGGUCCAGCAGCUGAGAAGGAGGGCACAGUCCUGAGGAUCGUGAGUCUGUGGGGUGGGAAGGGAGUGGGGGUAGGGACGAUCGGGCUCAGGCUACAUAGCCCGCUCCCCUCCCCCAGUGCAGCCACGUGGCUGGGAUCUGCCACAACAUCCUGAUCUGCUGCCCCAAGGAGCUGCUGGAACAGAGGGCCGUGCUUGAGCAGGUGCAGCUGGACAGUCCAUUGGGCCUGGAAAUUCACACCACCAGCAAUUGCCAGCACUUUGUGUCCCAAGUGGACACCCAGGUUCCCACUGACUCCCGACUGCAGAUCCAGCCUGGAGACGAGGUUGUCCAGAUCAACGAGCAGGUGGUGGUGGGAUGGCCCCGUAAGAACAUGGUGAGGGAGCUGCUGCAGGAGCCAGCCGGACUUAGCUUAGUGCUGAAGAAGAUCCCAAUACCAGAGACCCCCCCACAGACGCCCCCUCAGGUCCUGGACUCCCCGCACCAGAGGAGCCCAUCACUGUCUCUGGCCCCACUGUCUCCCAGGUAACAGGCUCUGUCCAGGUGUGUCUUGGUGGGGAGACCGUGGGCUCAUCUCAU
rnacentral:sRNA from 1 species